GCCCUUGUAGCUCAACAGGACAGAGCAUCGCUCUCCGACGGCGAAGGUUGGCGGUUCGAGUCCUUCCAGGGGCAC
rnacentral:tRNA from 1 species